AUCUACAGGCAGCUUGAUUUUCCUCUCCGACCUCACUUCAAGUCUAUGUAGGUCAGUCAACCCUGGUGUGUCACACUGACUCACUGGGGCCUGCAACACGUACAGAGGGCGCUGUCACUGGUGUCGGAGUGAGGAAGGGCACAGACGCACAUUCUUGUGUCAACACAUUGCACUGGUAAGAGUGUAUGUCCUCGCACAGAACAAGAUCAACACGGUUGUUGAACUUCGACCUCGCGUUCAGGAGCUGGCUGAGGGUCGAGCAUUCCUGUAUUGCAGGUCGAUAGCUAAUGUCUCAAAGGCUCCCUCAUCAAAAGAUCGUGUCUUUGGAAAGAUUCGAUGUGAGUACGUUAAUUAUGUUGGUGAUAACUUAUUCCAGGCUUUGUCUUCACUACUGUCGAAAUCGGUAGAAGUGAGAAGACACGAAGAUAUGAAGACGGGUGAUUCGAUGGCGCAUUGGUGAACCACUAAAAGAAUGCAUGAGGAUCUGGGGUUGUGUGUUCAAAUCCCACCCUACCAUGUGUAAUUUUCCUCUCGUCAAGACUCCUGGCUACACAAUUAUACUGCCUCUGGAUUCUUAGAUUAACACCAAAAACCAAACUGAUACGUCACCCUAGUCUGGUGAGAUCGUGUCCAGGUACCCUAUUCUUGGUCAGUAGUGAUGACAAUGGCUUGUAGUAACUAAUCAAAGAGUCGUAUAAGGACUGAUGAAGUUUUCUUUAUGUCCAGCGCCGGUCAGUUGACGAUGACGACGACCACACCACCAGAGAAUCAGUGCAUCAGUAUAUGCCACACAUUUCCGUUACUCCAUGGUUCUUCACAGUUACAUCCCCUUGUACGAGAGUUAUGUCCUCAUUGUGCCUGCGUCGGCCUUCUCUGUACAGUCAUCAAAAGCUUUGGGAAAAUUGAUUUCUAAAUGAAGGACUAGCAGACAUGGCCACGUCGGAACAGCUGCAGCAUCUCGUAACCCAGUGGCGUCAGAGAAUUCAGGAUCUCUAUCCUGACCGUCACAAUCGUGUCUAUACCCUGCCUUUUGUCCACUUCCGAAAGUCCCCUUCGUACUGUCAUCUUUUGCUGGACAACCUGUUCUAAUAGCCCACAGCACCUCCCACUCCUACCUCGGAGAACGAAAACAAAAGUAUGUGAAGAAAUCCCAGGAGACUUAUGUCGGAUGUGGGCGCCAUUAGCUCCUCAUGUCAAACUUCCCGCCGUGUGUGACAGUGAUCUGAAGGACGACACAGCCCAGCAGGGGGUCCUCAAGUGCCUGCAAGAGUUUGGCCAAGAAAAUGGCGAGGCCAUGUUCAUCAUCUCGCAGCUCAACUUCAUAGACUACCUCAACAAGCCCUGCUACACUUCGGCCGCCGCGCACCUCAAGUACCCUCGGCCAGAGGACUUGGGUCCGAGGUUCCGUCGUGGAGAGUUCGACAUCUUGCUCGUCCACCACCAUCAUGGGCUGGUCAUCGGCGAAAUCAAGUCCGUGGGCUCCAAUGCUGUGGCCCUCAACAAGACACCAGACGAGAUGGUCGCAGACGUGGCCAAGAAAGCAGCGAGAGCCACGAGGCAGCUUGGAGAGGUCCAAGAUGGUGCUGAGGUACCUGCUCAGCGAUCUGGCUCCGGACAUCGCGUGAAGGCCACCCUGAUCGUCCUACGUCACCAGGGAGAACUUGAGACGAGUUCUAGAAGGAAACCAGCAGCUGCGCGAGGAUCUGAGCCGUUGUCUUGGCGACGCCCAAACAACAGACAUUUCCGAGGUCGUGAAGCUUUGUCUUUGUGCUGACGACCUCGCCGCUGAUGAUGGCGGCUCUUGGCAACCGUCGCACUUAGAGGAGUGGUGGACACGGCGAGUGGUGGGAGACGACGACACUUCCGGCACUUCGCAGGGCAUGUCGGAGAGGAUUUACGAUGACAUCCUAGCCAGGUUCGCCGGCCCUGCUACAACAGUCACAGUUCACUGCACACAGCGCCCUCGCGUGGAGAUUCGAACCCUCGGGGAAGCGGUGUCAGAGCUCGGAGAGCGCCUGUCCAGACUCGUCGUACGCCGGAGCAGAUUCGUCUGCUCACUUCCGGUGUGCCGCGGAUGCUAAUUAAUGGCCCGCCAGGCACUGGGAAGUCUUUGAUCCUCGUGCUGGUAGCCCUGACCUGGCUCCGUCAAGGCAAAGACGUCUUCGUCUUGAGCCUGAAACGUGGAAGUCUGGCCAUCUCGAGGCUGAUUCACGGUCAGCUGCAGAUGACCCUUGACGCGGAGGAAUCGAGGUCACAGAAGUAUGGUGUACCACAUUUGGCUGAGUAUGACCUUUUUCACGACCCUGCUGCCUACACGACUGUGUCAACACCUUGUCGUCUGCAGCACUAGAUAAAGACAUUGGGAUUAUCGUGGACGAAUACGGAUCAACAGUCAAGAAAAUAAUGCAUCUUUACAACCAUAUCGCAAGAGAGCUGCUCUCCCGGGUACCCAGUCUCCACUAUUUGGGCGGCCACCAAUGGCAACUUUUGUGUUCCAGAAGUAUUUCAAUCCGAGACUUUAACGGUACCCCUCAGGUGUGCUCCAUCUGUUCUUGAAGAAGUCACCAAGGGGAUAAAGAACACUUUUGGUGUUUGCGGAUACUCCACCGGUGCUGUCCCCAGCCCUUUCGACGGACCGAACGUUAUUCGACUUCAUCACUGUUCGUCCAGUCACCUGGUCCGCUGGCCCCUGGACUGUGAACAGUGUGGACACGACAUUGCUGCGGAACUGAAGAAACUAGGCGUUGGAAUACCGGAACCUAGCAGUGGUGUCUGCACCGAUCGCUCGCCUUCAAGCAUCGAACUCCCUUCGUGCAAGACUGUGGCGCCCCCCAGGCUUCAGUACCGGGACGUGUUCGUCCUCGCUAACAGCACCCGGUGCACGAUGACGUCAGAGAUGAAGCGGGACAGGUGACGUCACGAGCCAACGGCGUUAUCGUCGGUCUGCGAGCGGCGGGGAUUCCCACUUGCGCGGUGCAGAACGCGGAGAGCGCAUGCUCCACCUGGCGGAAGGACGUGCUGGACGCGGCCGUGGGCAGGAACGACAAGGUGACGGUGGCCGACAGGGUGGAUGUAGGCGGACUGGAGAGAAAAAUCGUCGUGUGGCUGUCGGGAAGAAAAGAGGUCUUCGAUGACAAGAUCACGGAACACCAGCUGCUUGUUCGCGGACAGAUAUUUCGCCAUGUCGAGGUGCACCACCCAGCUCAUCGUUGUGGAAGUUUCAGGUUCCUAAAUUAUCUUCCUUCAGUGCGAUCAUUGGAGAAACAUGGACUUCCGGUCUGUCGAUGGAAUAUGUAAGACUGCCGUGAUGUGGGCAGACCACAGCAAACUUCGUUGAAUCGGAUAGACUACAAUGAAGUGUCAUGCUGUGAAUAGACUAGACUGCAGUGCAGUGGGUAGACUAAGAUAGAGUGUUGUUCCCUGGAUGGACUACAAUAGAAUGUUGUUCCCUGGGUAGACUACAAUAGAUUGCCGUGCUGUGACUAGAAUACAUUGGAGUAACGUGUUGUGGGUAGACACGUUGUAGUGUGGUGCGGGUAGACUACUUUGUAUGAUAAAACUGUUCGGAGUGUGCUAUACGCUAGUCUAUAUUUUUCUUAUUGGAGGAUUAUUUUUCAACUAACACUUUGCCACAAGUCAAAGUUCUGCAAAGGAAGUGGGUUGUAUGUAUUUGAGUCUGAGUAUGGAUCACUCUGUAGAUGUAAGUAUAAAAAUUGCAUAUGAAUCUCUCUUGCUCUGUCUGUCUGUUUGUCAGUCUGUCUGUGUGCGUGUUAGCGCACUGAAAGAUGUGUUCCUGAGCAUUUAUUUUGGUUGAAAAUGAAUCUCUUCAAUUUUUUCCCACUUUAUCACAGCGGCUAUUGCAUUCAACAGUAAAACAAUAUUUUAUUCAGAGGCA